rnacentral:rRNA from 1 species
GGGAUUACCUCAGUAACGGCGAGUGAAGCGGUAACAGCUCAAAUUUGAAAUCUGGCUCUUUCAGGGUCCGAGUUGUAAUUUGUAGAAGAUGCUUCGGGUGUGGCUCCGGUCUAAGUUCCUUGGAACAGGACGUCAUAGAGGGUGAGAAUCCCGUAUGUGACUGGGUGCCUUCGCUCAUGUGAAGCUCUUUCGACGAGUCGAGUUGUUUGGGAAUGCAGCUCAAAAUGGGUGGUAAAUUUCAUCUAAAGCUAAAUAUUGGCCAGAGACCGAUAGCGCACAAGUAGAGUGAUCGAAAGAUGAAAAGCACUUUGGAAAGAGAGUUAAACAGUACGUGAAAUUGUUGAAAGGGAAGCGCUUGCAACCAGACUUGCCCGCCGUCGAUCAUCCGGGGUUCUCCCCGGUGCACUCGGCGGCGUUCAGGCCAGCAUCGGUUUCGGGGGUGGGAUAAAGGCCUUGGGAAUGUAGCUUCUUUCGGGGAGUGUUAUAGCCCUCGGUGCAAUGCCGCCACCCGGGACCGAGGACCGCGCUUCGGCUAGGAUGCUGGCGUAAUGGUUGUAAGCGACCCGUCUUGAAACACGGACCAAGGAGUCUAACAUCUAUGCGAGUGUUUGGGUGUCAAACCCAUACGCGUAAUGAAAGUGAACGGAGGUGAGAACCCUUAAGGGCGCAUCAUCGACCGAUCCUGAUGUCUUCGGAUGGAUUUGAGUAAGAGCAUAGCUGUUGGGACCCGAAAGAUGGUGAACUAUGCGUGAAUAGGGUGAAGCCAGAGGAAACUCUGGUGGAGGCUCGCAGCGGUUCUGACGUGCAAAUCGAUCGUCAAAUUUGCGUAUAGGGGCGAAAGACUAAUCGAACCA